CGCACUAUCCGGGGAGUCAGCGGUGCCCUGUACCUGCAAUCCGCUACAGCAGGGGCGAAUUCCGGUCUUCGGGUAGAUGGUGUGUUGUCAGGCUUUGAUGAGCGGCGUAGACGAACCGGUCUUGCGCAACGCAAAUUCACGAACCAUGUCAGGCGGGGAACCGAGCAGCAUUAAGGGAAACCUUGCGUGUGCCGUGAGGGUGCCGGUUCUGAGCAAGCUGUCAAAGCAU
rnacentral:SRP_RNA from 1 species